GGGGAAUAUUGGACAAUGGGCGCAAGCCUGAUCCAGCAAUGCCGCGUGGGUGAAGAAGGCCUUCGGGUUGUAAAGCCCUUUUGUACGGGAAGAAAGCGGGCGGGUUAAUACCUUGUCCGGAUGACGGUACCGUAAGAAUAAGCACCGGCUAACUUCGUGCCAGCAGCCGCGGUAAUACGAAGGGUGCAAGCGUUAAUCGGAAUUACUGGGCGUAAAGCGUGCGUAGGCGGUUUGUUAAGUGCGAUGUGAAAGCCCUGGGCUCAACCUGGGAAUGGCAUGGGAUACUGGCAAGCUAGAGUGCGGGAGAGGAGUGCGGAAUUCCCGGUGUAGCGGUGAAAUGCGUAGAGAUCGGGAGGAACAUCCGUGGCGAAGGCGGCACCCUGGACCAGCACUGACGCUGAGGCACGAAAGCGUGGGGAGCAAAC
rnacentral:rRNA from 1 species